UGGGGAAUCUUGCGCAAUGGGCGAAAGCCUGACGCAGCGACGCCGCGUGUGGGAUGAAGGCCUUCGGGUCGUAAACCACUGUCGCGAGGGACGAAUAAAUUGACGGUACCUCGAAAGGAAGCACCGGCUAACUCUGUGCCAGCAGCCGCGGUAAUACAGAGGGUGCGAGCGUUGUCCGGAAUCACUGGGCGUAAAGGGCGCGUAGGUGGCUGUGUAAGUCGGGGGUGAAAUGCUGCGGCUCAACCGCAGCGCUGCCUCCGAGACUGCACGGCCUGAGCGCGGUAGAGGCCGAUGGAAUUCCCGGUGUAGCGGUGGAAUGCGUAGAGAUCGGGAAGAACACCGAUGGCGAAGGCAGUCGGCUGGGCCGUUGCUGACACUGAGGCGCGACAGCGUGGGGAGCAAACAGGAUUAGAUACCC
rnacentral:rRNA from 1 species